rnacentral:rRNA from 1 species
UGAAGGAUGAAGGUCCUCUGGAUUGUAAACUUCUUUUAUAGGGGGCGAAAAAAGGGUUUUUUAACUCACUUGACGGUACCUUAUGAAUAAGCACCGGCUAACUCCGUGCCAGCAGCCGCGGUAAUACGGAGGGUGCAAGCGUUAUCCGGAUUUACUGGGUUUAAAGGGUGCGCAGGCGGGCGAUUAAGUCAGUGGUGAAAUCUUCGAGCUUAACUCGGAAACUGCCGUUGAUACUAAUUGUCUUGAAUACUCGGGAGGUGAGCGGAAUAUGUCAUGUAGCGGUGAAAUGCUUAGAUAUGACAUAGAACACCGAUUGCGAAGGCAGCUCACUACAGAGAUAUUGACGCUGAGGCACGAAAGCGUGGGGAUCAAACAGGAUUAGAUACCCUGGUAGUCCACGCCCUAAACGA